AUGCUAUGAUGUUUUCUCACGAUGGUCUUCUGAAAUAAUUAUCUGAAGACAAUGCCAAUAGGCUUUGCUGAGCACAUCUG